rnacentral:rRNA from 1 species
AACGAACGCUGGCGGCAGGCCUUAUACAUGCAAGUCGAGCGCACCUUCGGGUGAGCGGCGGACGGGUGAGUAACGCGUGGGAACAUACCCCUUCUCUGCGGAAAUAGCCCUCUGGAAAACGGAGAAUAAUACCCGCAUACGCCCUUCGGGGGAAAGAUUUAUCGGAGAUGGAUUGGCCCGCGUUAGAUUAGGUAGUUGGUGGGGUAACGGCCUACCAAGCCUACGAUCUAUAGCUGGUUUGAGAGGAUGAUCAGCCACACUGGGACUGAGACACGGCCCAGACUCCUACGGGAGCAGCAGU